CCCUUAGAUGUCCUGGGCCGCACGCGCGCUACACUGAUGAAUUCAACGAGUUUUACCUUGGCCGAGAGGCCUGGGCAAUCUUUUAAACCUGCAUCGUGAUAGGGAUAGAUUAUUGCAAUUAUUAAUCUUGAACGAGGAAUUCCUAGUAAACGCAAAUCAUCAAUUUGCAUUGAUUACGUCCCUGCCCUUUGUACACACCGCCCGUCGCACCUACCGAUUGAAUGGUCCGGUGAAGCCUCGGGAUUGUGGCCAGUUCACUUUAUUGGGAGUUGGCUGUGAGAACUUGUCUAAACCUUAUCAUUUAGAGGAAGGUGAAGUCGUAACA
rnacentral:rRNA from 1 species